CUAGUACAAGUCCUGGCCCUGCCUUAAAGUCUCCGAGACAAAAACAACAAAACGCAGUGUGGAGAGAAAUGAAAAAAGCUGUGAUGCUAUUUAAAGAAUGGAACACCCUUGGAAACGCGAUGCUACGUCUCAAUGGGAUUUUCCAGUACAAAGAUUCUUUUCAAAGAACAUAAUUGUGGAUACACACUACUCCUACAGAGAGUGUGUCUUGUGGUGACAGAAGACAGCAUGAUGAGGAAGUUAAAGAAGUAAUAAAAUUAGAAUUUA